GAUCAAUAAUGAAACCACCUUUGGCACAAAUUUUGAUUACUUUCAAGAUGAAAAGGAGAUAAGAGUGUUGCAAGUUAAUUUGCCCAUCAUAUGACAUGGACUUGAGACUAAAAUUGUUUCCUCUAUCUGGUGUAACAAUAAUUUCAUGGAGAAGAUCAUUUUUGUUCUCUUUAAUGUGUUAUUAGUUGCUAAUUAAACCUUUGCCUUGGAUAUCUACUUAAUUGAGGAAAUAAGAUGUCAUAGUUUAUUUCAUAACAAUAUUUCUUAAAUACAUGGUACUUCCAGGAAUACAUGUUUGGUGCGCAAGACACUUCGAUCUUGGAGUUGAGUAUGAAAGUGAAAGUUAACAAUAUUUGGACUGUCGAGAGAACUACAAGGGAGUGAAAGUUGCAAGUGCUAAUGAUAGUGCUAAAAUCAUUGAGAAGAUUCACUGUAGCAAAGGCAGAACAGAAAUUGUGACUCUAUGUUUCACCAUGAUGAGGAAAUAGAAACCACGAGUAUCAUUGAUGUUAGAUUGUUUCUUCUAUGUUUCACGAUUGGUGAAGAAAUAGAAACCACGAGUAUUGUUGAUGUUAGAUUGUUCUUUUAUUAAUCUAAAUCUAAAGACUUCAAUUUU